GCGGGAGUAGCUCAGUUGGCAGAGCACGGCGUUCCCAACGCUGCGGUCGGCGGUUCGAGUCCGCUCUCCCGCU
rfam:Chloroflexi bacterium 13_1_40CM_2_70_6 13_1_40cm_2_scaffold_5345, whole genome shotgun sequence.